GAAAAUGGUUAUCGUUCAAGGACGUAAGUGACCCUGCUUUUUCAGUGGGUAAGAAGGGGUAGAACAAUGCCUCGAGCCAUGUUCGUAGUACCAGGCGCUCGGCGCUGAAGUACCCUCAUCUUCCCAGGAAAGCUCGAACGGCUCAACAAAAAAAGGUACCUGUACCGAAACCGACACAGGUGGGUAGGUAGAGAUACCUAGGGCGCGAGAAACUCUCUC
rnacentral:lncRNA from 1 species